rnacentral:rRNA from 1 species
AUUGAACGCUGGCGGCAGGCCUAACACAUGCAAGUCGAGCGGAUGAAGGGAGCUUGCUCCUGGAUUCAGCGGCGGACGGGUGAGUAAUGCCUAGGAAUCUGCCUGGUAGUGGGGGAUAACGUCCGGAAACGGGCGCUAAUACCGCAUACGUCCUGAGGGAGAAAGUGGGGGAUCUUCGGACCUCACGCUAUCAGAUGAGCCUAGGUCGGAUUAGCUAGUUGGUGGGGUAAAGGCCUACCAAGGCGACGAUCCGUAACUGGUCUGAGAGGAUGAUCAGUCACACUGGAACUGAGACACGGUCCAGACUCCUACGGGAGGCAGCAGUGGGGAAUAUUGGACAAUGGGCGAAAGCCUGAUCCAGCCAUGCCGCGUGUGUGAAGAAGGUCUUCGGAUUGUAAAGCACUUUAAGUUGGGAGGAAGGCCAGUAAGUUAAUACCUUGCUGUUUUGACGUUACCAACAGAAUAAGCACCGGCUAACUUCGUG